rnacentral:lncRNA from 1 species
GAGGUGACCACACCCUUUGCCUAUGAUGAAUGCACAGAAGUGAUGCAAGUGCAUGCUGAGUUCACAACCAUUGCUGGGGUGGGAACGUUUGUGCCACAGCUGGUGAGUAGAGCUGAUGCUCUGGUGAGCAUGCUGCACACAGAGACUGAGCUGUGAGCUUUCCUUGAGAAAGAUCGCCUUGUGAGUGCCCAUCAGAAGCACUACUGCGGCAUGUGUGUGAGCUGGGCACAGCUUAGGCUAACCAGGCUGAACAGGGUUCCUUUCCAAAAGGAGAUUUCAGGGAUUGAGGCAGUUGAAGAAAGAGUGAAGCCAGUUCUUUCCAACAGCGGGGGCAGUCCCUGUGGAGAGGACCCCAUGAACUUGAGCUUCCUCUGAGACAUUCCCCACCAUGUCUCAGCAAGGAGACAGACGCAGUUCCCUUUCCUGCUUUGCAUGCGGAAAGGUGUGUUGGUUUAAUCCCCUGAACUGAUGUCUGAAAGUGCCUGUCUUCUCCACCUGAGUGAAGAAGUGCAGUGUGGUUCCCUGUGUUAGGGAGCAGCAGCCAGCAGGCUGCCAGAAUGCCAGCUGUGCCUUUCAGCACACAAAGGGAUGUGAUGGGGAUGGACCAUCCUUAGCACCAUGCAAAAAAGCUGAUGCAAACCGCCUUGCAGUGAAGCGCGGCCUUGCAGAAAGGAAGGGGAGGAGCAUGGAGUGUGGCAUGGCACUGAAGAGAGGUA